rnacentral:rRNA from 1 species
UACGUAGGGAGCGAGCGUUGUCCGGAUUCAUUGGGCGUAAAGAGCUCGUAGGCGGCUUGGUAAGUCGGAUGUGAAACCUCCAGGCUCAACCUGGAGUCGCCAUCCGAUACUGCCAUGGCUAGAGUCCGGUAGGGGCCCACGGAAUUCCUGGUGUAGCGGUGAAAUGCGCAGAUAUCAGGAGGAACACCGAUGGCGAAGGCAGUGGGCUGGGCCGGCACUGACGCUGAGGAGCGAGAGCGUGGGGAGCGAACAGG